GCAGGUGAAUACAACGUUGAGCGAUGAACGUUGUGCUCCAUAAUUGUAGUUCUUCUCAUAUUGAGAUUUGUACAGAAUAAUUGACCAUUCUUAUGCCGAUGCUAGUGUUAGCAUCGGCUAUU
rnacentral:sRNA from 1 species